rnacentral:sRNA from 1 species
GCAGUACCUUCAACAUUCCUUCAGUACAGACAGCCAGCAUGCAGUGAGCACUCAGCGAUGGCCAAGUAUGGGAGAAGCCAUGCUGGAAUGAACAUGUGGGACCAUUUUGUGCAGUUUCUCAGAGGAAGAUAAGAACCAUCUUCAAUGGCACAUGGCAGUUGCCAAAUUGCCAUGAAGCAAUACCUAAAGCCACCUCAUGCUCAGGAGAAAACGCUCACCUUCCCCUCCUGGCUCCCCGUGCUCUACACGUUCAGAGAAACUUCUCUAGUAAUGAACUCAGGAACUGGUCACUGAGAGUAUAGUCUCUAUGGACAGCUUCGGAGCCAUGGAGUGAAGCCGAGCAAAUCCAUGGACUACUGCCCUGCCCCCGGUCUAUCUCGCUAGACUAGGGACAGGACUUGGGUGAUGCAGGAACAGAGAAUGACCUGAGGAGGACACAGACCAGACCAGAGAGGAAGGAAGAUGAGAGGAGGAUGCGGGAAAGGGGCUUACAUCAAUCU